CAAAGGCAAGCGUCUGUAACCUUAAUAAUAUUUCGUUAUUUGAAAGAAUUUGCUGCAGCUCUUCGUCCGAGGCCUGCGCUCGGGACAGCUCAUUGUAGUCAACAACUGCUGGUAGAUGCAUCGUUUCAACGCGUGAAAAGGUGUCAGCGACGUUGUUGUCUGAACCGGAGAUGUACUCAAUGUUAGUCGUGAAUUGGCUGAUGAAUCCUAGCUGUCUGAUCUGGCGAGGUGAGGAUUUAUCCGAUUGUUGAUGGAACACACAAGUCAAUGGCUUAUGAUCUGUCCUGACAACAAACUCACGACCUUCAACCCAGUGUCUAAAGUACUUGAUGGCUUCGUAUACAGCUGUCAAUUCUCUAUCAUAUGUGCUGUAGUUAAUCUGUGCGGGUCACAACUUUUUCGAGAAAAAUCCAAGUGGCCUCCAAACGUUUUUAUGUUUCGUCACACGUAAUCCGAAGUUCGGCGGCUGGUGAUGGAUGAGCUAGGAGAGUUGCGGCUGCUAGUUGUUCUUUGAUGUAGGUGAAAGCUUGUUCUGAUUCUGCUGUCCAAGGUACUCGUCUGCGAUCGUUUUUCUUCUUCGAGUCUUUUAAGAACUCGUUGAGAGGUGCCUGGGCAGCGGGAGCGUUUCUGAUGUGUCGUCGGAAGAAGUUUAUUGCGCCGAAGAAUCUUCUUAUCUCUAAAAUUGUUUUAGGUUUUGGGAAAUUCCGUAGCGCUUGGACUCGGCUUGGAAGUGGUGCGGAACCGAGUUUCGAAAUUCUAUAUCCCAAGAAAUCGACUUUAGAAGCACCCAAAACACAUUUUUCCGCAUUAAUGCACAGGCCGUAUUGGCUAAGCCGCUCGAAUACUAACUGGAGGUGUUGUAUGUGUUGUUGUUCACUGGAUGAUGCUAUCAGCAGGUUGUCGAUGUAAGCAUAAACGCAAUCGAGGUCCGUGAGGGCUUCGUUGGUAAAGCGCUGAAAAGACUGUGCCGCGCUUUGGAGCCCGAAUGGCAUGCUGAUGAACUCGAAUAACCCGAACAGGGUUAUUAUGGCGGUUUUUGGUAUGUCUUCCUCGGCCACCGGAGUAUGAUGAAACGCACGCCUAAGGUCGAUUGUAGAAAAUAUGUUCUUUCCUGCUAAUAUGCAUAAUCAUGAAAAAGCGAGAUUGGGUACCGGUCAGGACUAGUUCGUUCGUUGAGUCUACGGUGGUCUCCGCAUGGUUGCCAGUCUCCAUUUUCCUUCUUGGCCAUGUGUAAGGGACUAGCACAGGGGCUAUUUGACGGUCUGACAUGACCCAAAUCGAUUAGGAGCUCAAAUUCCUUUUUGGCCACUUUGAGGCGUUCAGGACAUAGCGGUCGAACACGUUGCAUGCACGAUGGUCCGGUAGUAGGGAAUUUGUUGCUCUCGGUUAGGGCCGUGACCGCUGUAAUGGGGGCGGUUGCAUAAUGGCCUACACUGUGCGAGUCUGAAUUAGGGUGUACUAAGCGACAUCGUUUGAGGUCCACAACUAAUCAAAAUUUGUGGAUGAGGUCUGCACCGAUGAUUGGAUACGGUACGUUAGCUAUACAGAAUAUGCAAUUAAUCGGAUGCCGUAGGUAUUGAGGGUGUGUGCUUUAUCCCCGUAGGUUUCGAUUUCGCUACCGUUUGCAGCUUGCAGUCGAAAAGGUGUUGGCAUUUUCUUGUUUUUACGAGAAAGUGGAGUUACCGAAAUAUCCGCGACAGUGUCGACGAGGAAAUGCGUACCCGAUAUGCGGUCGUAAACGAAUAGUCGGCGAUGUGUUAUGUUGCCACCAGCAUACGCCGUGUCUACUGGGGGCUGUUUGUGUUUCCCUGAAACGUGCAGGGCCAUGUGCACUUUUUGGCACGUUGACCAGAUUUUCGAUCAUAAUAACAUGAUGAGCUUGUAGCAUUGUCCUGUGAUGCACUUGGUGUAUUUUUAUUGCAAGUGCUUUCGUUGAAUGAUGCUUUGUCGAGCCUCUGAGUCUUGCCAAUCUGGGCACCCAUCGCCCGAUUUCGUUGCACAAUUUUGUUGUUGGUCCAUUUAACGUUUGCUGUUCAAUUGUAGGGGUCACCAAUUAUGUGGCGAAUGAAACACCACAAUUAUAUAAAAUUACAGAUUGUUUAUUGAAGAACACUUGUAUUCUUGUUGGCGUCUGUAUAAUGAGUGACGCUUCUUAACCUUUAUCUACUCUUCGUGUCGAAAACGACGCAAAAGCAAUAUUUUUUAAUUUUUAUGAAAAGAGGCGGCAAGAAGUCAACUGAAUUUCUCGACUUUGUUAAUAACAUUAAUUUGCUUUGUUUAAAAUGUUUUUCGUUCCACAAGUUUUUUUUUUUGUGGAUUGUGUUAAAAAAAUUACGUUGGCUACCCUCCUGCGUCGUUUUCGACGCAUAUGAGAAAACAUCUGUUUUUUGGCGGGAAACUGUUCGUUUCGCGAGUUAUUGGGUUUUUUGCAAGUGAUGAAGUAAUUUGUGAUUAAUUUACACAUAAAAGAGAUGUAAAAGAAAAAAAUCAAUAUGUGCCAACCAAAUUAUUUGUCAAGUGAAGAAAUAGGAGUUUUUCUAAAUGAAAGUGAAGCAGAAGAUAAUUGCAGUUUUUCUGAUGCUAGUGAUGAAGUGUACGAGCCAGAAGGGUCAAAAGCGAAUGAAAGUGAUAACUCUUCAAGUGAUAGUGAUUCUGGUGGUGAGGAUUAUAUUCGAACAACUGAUGCUAACGAUAGUGAUGGUUACACUGCAAAUACCGAUCCAUUGUACGUAUCAAAGGAUGGUACACUAUGGCAGUCAGAUCCAUUUCAGCCGCAAAGUGGUAGAUUUAGGAAUGAGAAUGUUAUCAGUCUUUCGCCUGGCGUCACUCGAUUUGCAAAAGCCCGUGUCAACGACAUAAAAGAUGCUUUUCUCCUAUUUUUGCCUCCACAUCUAGAAAACAUAAUUCCAAAGCAUACAAAUGCAUUUGACAAAGCUAAGUAUGGCGACGAAUUCAUGCGAAUUGAUUCCAGUCUGUUGCAAGCUUAUAUCGGUAUAUUGAUUUUAACUGGUGUAUAUAGAUCAAAAAACGAGUCAACGGUUGAUUUGUUCGAUGCAGAGUAUGGUCGUCCCAUAUUUAGGGUUAUUAUGUCAAAAAAGACGUUUGAAUAUAUCAAUCAAGUAAUUCGAUUUGAUGAUACCAUCAGCCGGAGGCAAAAAACAUGUGACGAUAAAUUUGCACCGAUCCGAGAUGUUUUUGAAAAAUGGUCGAAUUCAUUAGCUGAUUAUUACAACCCUCAUGAAUGAGUUACCGUAGAUGAACAGCUGCUGGGUUUUAGGGGUCGAUGCAAAUUUCGUCAAUAUAUGCCUUCGAAAUCAGAGAAAUGAGGAAUUAAGUUUUGGUUGUGCGUCUGUUCUGAGGGUUGCUAUAUUUGGAAAAUUCAGCCCUACUUGGGUAAACCAGUCGGUGCAAGCUCAUGUGAAAAAAAUCAGUGUCAACGUGUUGUUUUGGAUUUGUCUCGGCCAGGAAUUGCUAACAAAAAGUGUCACGAUGGUGGGAACUAUGAGGAAAAAUAAGAGAUCUAUUCCGCCAAAUCUUCUCAAACGCAAAAAACUACCUUUGUACCAUUCAACGUUUGCAUUCACAAGCAACACAACGCUUGUUUCAUAUGUUGGUAGAAAAAAUAAGUGUACAAUUUGACAAAGCACUUUGCAUAACUCUAAAGAAAUCGAGCCCGGAGUUAAAAAGCUACCAACAAUUAUAAAUUAUUAUAACAAAACUAAAGGUUUGUUAUAGAUGAGUUCCGAUUUAUUUGUUUAUAUUCGUCUAUUUGCUUGUUUCAUUCAAAAUAGGCGGUGUCGAUACGGUUGAUAAGAUGCUUUCCUGCCACAGUUGCAGGAGGAAAACUAAUAGAUGGCCGAUGGCUGUGUUUGCUAAUAUAAUUGACAUAUCGGCUUUGAAUGCAUUAAUCAUUUUCAAGGAAAUUAAUCCUAACUGGCAGGCUACACAAAAAACCACAAUAAGAAAGAACUUUCUACGGGAGCUAGGAUUAUCACUUGCUAGACCAUUUAUGACAUGUAGAACUUGAAAGCCGAGGUCAAGUUCAUCCGCGAAUUUGCUCGAUAUGGCAUCUUCACCAAAUGCAUCGAAAAGAUCAAAAAGCGUUCCUCCACAAAUUAAAGGAAGGCAAAGAUGUGCGAUGUGUUUGGAAAGUAAUUUUGCUUCAAAAAAUAACAUGCAUACUACAAUUUGUUGCUUUUGUUCAAAAGGUACAUGCAAAAACAUACACAACCGAAACGUAUGCGUCAGGUGCAUAAAAAAUAAGUUAAUUUAAGUUUGGAAAAAAAUUAAAACAGUAUUUUCUCGGUUAAGCUAAUAAAAACGACAAAAAUAAUGUUGGUUUUCGCCGUCCAAUUUUCCACUAAAAACAAUGGGAAGUACAUAUGCGUCGAAAACGACGCAUGAGGGUAGACAAUGUAAGUUAUUUUUAGGAGCAGAUGAAGGUUUAAACUUAAAACUAAGAAUUAGGAAUUCAGUUGAAACUAAAAUUCCAAGAAUAACUUUUGCAUGCAAAAAGAUACAGUCCUGGGUGGUAAGCUAUCUUUUGAUAUAUAUAAAUUGGUUAACCGUUCCAACAAAAAAUUAGUAGUAAUUUGCUUAUUUAAAUAAAAUAAGCGUAUUUAGAAUUAAAAAAAAAAAACCAAAAUUGGCUUAGGAAAGCAGCAGCUUUUAUGUUUUCUGUCGAUCUAGUGUAAACAAACACAGCCGUAGAAAACUCACCACGGUGUGUGCAAUUGUUUGAGAAGCCUACCAGCAAUUACAAUUGCUGGAACAUAAUAAUCACUAGAAUAAAACAAUGGACGAUGCGAUAGCUACUUCGCAUGCCACUGAAGUUUGCACAUUUUUCGCGGUGAUCAUUUCGACAUAUCAGCCUCCAAACCCGCGGCAAUUAUGGGAUACGAUCAAAAAUGACAUUGCCGAAGGCAUUUUACAUCGUAUUCGCUAAGAAUUGUAAAUGGGUAAAUUUCGUUUGGUACUUCCAUUGGUUCGAUAUCAAUUCCACCUGCCUUUUGUCAAUUCAUUUCAACGAAAGAUAAAUUAAUCACGAAUGUUUAUCCGAACAUUGGCCAAAUUAUCGUAACAACGAUUGCUCUCGCGCAAUUUUAGCUGCCAAAAAUAAUGAUGUUAGUGACUUAAACAGGAAUAUUCAGAGUCAAAUUCCGGGAGGUUUACGCUUAUACUAAUCGAUCGAUCGUUUUGACAAUGAAGACGAAGCCGUGAAUUAUCCGGUGGAAUUUCUAAAUUCUCUGGAAAGGUUUGGUAUGCCGCUGCAUCAUUUGCGUCUCUUGGUUGGAUCUGUCAUUAUUAUGUUUCGAAAUCUUUAUGCGCCGAAACUGUGUAAUGAAACCCGACUGAUUGCGACGCAGCUGUCGAAUACAGGGGGUCAGAAUGCUUGAUUCUACGAAUUCCUUUCAGUUCCAACGAGUUGCCAUAUCAGUAAAAACGUAUUCAGUUUCCAGUUAAAAUUGCAUUUGCGAUGACAAACAACAAGACACAAGGAUAGUAGCUAGAAAUGUGUGGAAUAAAUCUGGAAAUGCCAUGUUAGGCGCAUGGCCAGUUAUACGUGGCAUGUUCACGAGUUGGAAAACCAUCUUCUCUGUACAUUUACUCACUGGAAAAUAAAUCAAAAAAUGUUGUUUAUCAAGCUGAGUUACAUUGAAAAAAAUUUUGAAAAAUCGAAAAUAAAUGAUUUUUAACACAACGUAAAUUCAACUUUCUUUUCAUUU